GUGGGGAAUCUUCCGCAAUGGACGAAAGUCUGACGGAGCAACGCCGCGUGAGUGAAGAAGGGUUUCGGCUCGUAAAGCUCUGUUGUCGGGGACGAAUGUGCAGUAUUUGAAUAAAGUACUGCAAUGACGGUACCUGACGAGGAAGCCACGGCUAACUACGUGCCAGCAGCCGCGGUAAUACGUAGGUGGCAAGCGUUGUCCGGAAUUAUUGGGCGUAAAGGGAGCGCAGGCGGGAAGGUAAGUCGGUCUUAAAAGUGCGGGGCUCAACCCCGUGAUGGGAUCGAAACUAUCUUUCUUGAGUGCAGGAGAGGAAAGUGGAAUUCCUAGUGUAGCGGUGAAAUGCGUAGAUAUUAGGAGGAACACCAGUGGCGAAGGCGACUUUCUGGACUGUAACUGACGCUGAGGCUCGAAAGCCAGGGGAGCGAACGGGAUUAGAAACCCUUGUAGUCC
rnacentral:rRNA from 1 species